rnacentral:rRNA from 1 species
GAAGUGUUCGGAAUGCGGCGACGUGGGCGGUUCGCUCCCCGCGACGUUGUGAGAAGUCCACUGAACCUUAUCAUUUAGAGGAAGGAGAAGUCGUAACAAGGUUUCCGUAGGUGAACCUGCGGAAGGAUCAUUGUCG